GCGUGCCGCCGGACAGCGGCAGCCAAUCAGAGGAGGAGCAGAGCCACGCGAGCGACACGCACAGACCCGCAACCCCCCUGCCCCCACCACACACACACACACACACACACACACACACGCUAAAAAGUUAACCUGCUUUAAGAGAGAAGAAGAAAAACUGAAGCCUCCAAAAUCCUGGACUAAUUGAAGACCAGAACCUUUCAGAGGAACCAGAACAGAACCGGCUGAUCUGAGUUGGAGCAGAAAGUUGGACCUUCUGCCUGUCUGGACAUCCUGACUACUGACAGAACCGCCAGCUGGACCGGUACCGGCUCGGAACCAUCUGGUGGGCGGUUUCCUGGUCCUCCAGAACCAUCUCCUGCUGCCAUGACAACCAUCAAUCUGGACACACGGCCUCGUUAGUUGAACAUUUUUACUUGUAAAAGCUGAAAAUUUUUUUUUUCUCUUAUUAUUCCAGAUUCAAAUUUAGAAUGAAAAAAAAAAAUAUUUCUGAACUCAGCAAAAUCUUUCUACUGGGAACCGAACCGUUCGGAACCGGCCCGACUCCUCUAAAUCAGCUCUGUCGUGUUUUUAUGAAGAACGCGCUGAGUCAAACUGUAUCAUCGUUAUUGGUUUAUUCGGGAUCACCAAACUUCCAGCUUGGCUCCAUGACAACAAUCAGCAUCACCUGGACUACCUGAGCCUGACGCUCCUUUAUGAUGUCAUCACAGGUGGCCAUUUCUAGUCUUUAACCAUGCGUAACAUUAACACGUGUUUCUGCUUCAGGUAGAAACAAAAAACUAGACAAAAAGAUUUUUUGGAAAAAAUAUUAAUUAAAUCCUCUGAGAACCAACAGAACUGGAUCCGGUUUAUCUGUUCUGGACUGAACGAACAGCACACACACGCACACGCCGACGCAGUCGCCCGCGCGCGCGCAUCCCUCUAAAGGUUUUGUGAAGACAUCUUUAUGAGACUUUUCCAUUAAUUAUUCCAUUUGGAUUCGCGGCGCAGCAGAAACCUGCAGAGUCUUUCUGCAGCUUUAUCCGGGGGGCUCAUUUAUAAAUAAUUACACAAUGUUUAGAGUCUUCAGGCAUGUAUAAUAUAUCAAAGCGAUUAUGAGGUGAAUUGUUCCAUUGUGGCGCUGCGCCUCUUUUCACCGCGCUCCGCUCGUCCCGCUCCAGAUUCGCCUCUUUGUGCCGCUUUCUUUCUGCCUGCGCUUCUCUAUUGGGCCUUUCUUAUUCUAAUGGCCCAGCGGGACAAAACAGAGCCGGGCUGCACACAAAACCAGAGCCGGCCGCACACAAAUCAUCUUCGGCCGCCCGGCAGGCCGCAGGGCCGGCACAAGCCCCGUGGGGCCCCGGGCAGUGACCCGUAUGACCCGACAUCCAACAUAAAAAUUUAUAUUUCAAGGAAAACAAACAAAACAAUAUUUCACAUUUUAAUUCAUGAAAUUUAAAUGUUUGAAAUUGUAGAUCGUGUUUGAUCUUAUUUUAUUUUCAUUUGAACUCCACAAAUCUCUUUUGUUUCUGUUUAAUUUUCUGUGCAUUUUCAAAAAUCUAACAGCUAUUCAGGACAGUGGCCUUGAAUGUAUGUUCUCCACUUUUCUGAUUCUUCUCAGUUUUUUCAAAGAGCAGAAGAAGAGCCGCUGCUGCUUGAUGUGUCUGUGGAGCGCAUUGCUGCCCCCUAUCAGAGAGAUACGGUACUUUCUGUAUCUAUGAUGAGAGAGUCAAUAUCUCACACGUAUUAAAUAUAUCAGACUGUGUAGACAAACAUAUUGUUUAAUUACUAUGAAAAAUAUACUUUAUCUGACUUAUUUCAAGUAUUUGAACAAGGAAUGUGCAUA